rnacentral:rRNA from 1 species
AUACGGAGGGUGCAAGCGUUAUCCGGAAUCAUUGGGUUUAAAGGGUCCGCAGGCGGAUUAAUAAGUCAGUGGUGAAAUCCUCUCGCUCAACGAGAGAACUGCCAUUGAAACUGUUAGUCUUGAAUUCGGUCGAAGUAGGCGGAAUGUGUCAUGUAGCGGUGAAAUGCAUAGAUAUGACACAGAACACCGAUAGCGAAGGCAGCUUACUAGACCUGGAUUGACGCUCAUGGACGAAAGCGUGGGGAGCGAACAGGAUUAGAUACCCCAGUAGUCC